rnacentral:lncRNA from 1 species
GAGUACUCUUCGUCUUUACUAACCCUACAAAUUCUCUUUUGGAGUUCUGGCAACUUUGAGGUUCCUCCCAAUCGCUCCGACGCCUUUGAUGUUCACAUCUUCCGGUAGUCCUGUCGCAGAUGACUUUCGCCCUUCUCAUUCAGCCCCUUUCUCUAAAUCUAAUUAAUUUGAAUUCAAUGUGGUAGGACGAGAGUCAUCUGUGACAGGAUAAUGGAAGAUCUAGUUAUCAAAGGCUUAUUGGGGCGUUCUUUUUUUCAUGUCGAGUUUGUAGGAAAAUCUCCAACGUUUGCAGAGUAGUAUUGCAAAACCGAAGUAGCAGCAU